rnacentral:rRNA from 1 species
AGAUCUGAUCCUGGCUCAGAGCGAACGCUGGCGGCGUGCUUAACACAUGCAAGUCGAGGGAGAACGGAAGGCUUCGGCCUUCUUAGUAAACCGGCGCACGGGUGAGUAACACGUAGGUAACCUACCCCCGAGCUCGGGAUAACCUGUCGAAAGAUAGGCUAAUACCGGAUGAGACCACGUUGGUUUCGGCCAAUGCGGUCAAAGAUGGCCUCUAUUUAUAAGCUAUCACUCGAGGAUGGGCCUGCGCACCAUUAGCUAGUUGGUGAGGUAACGGCUCACCAAGGCUACGAUGGUUAGUUGGUCUGAGAGGAUGACCAGCCACACUGGGACUGAGACACGGCCCAGACUCCUACGGGAGGCAGCAGUGGGGAAUAUUGCGCAAUGGGGGAAACCCUGACGCAGCGACGCCGCGUGGGUGAUGAAGGCCUUCGGGUCGUAAAGCCCUGUCGGAGGGGAAGAAGGACUGUCGUGCAAAUAGUGCGAUGGUUUGACGGUACCCUUAGAGGAAGCGCCGGCUAACUCCGUGCCAGCAGCCGCGGUAAUACGGAGGGUGCAAGCGUUGCUCGGAAUUACUGGGCGUAAAGGGCGUGUAGGCGGUUUCGUAUGUCUGGCGUGAAAGCCCCGGGCUCACCUCGGGAAGUGCGUCGGAAACUGCGAGACUAGAGUCCCGGANAGGGAGGUGGGAAUUCCAGGUGUAGCGGUGAAAUGCGUAGAUAUCUGGAAGAACACCCGGUGGCGAAAGCGGCCUCCUGGACGGUGACUGACGCUGAAACGCGAAAGCG